rnacentral:rRNA from 1 species
GACGAACGCUGGCGGCGUGCUUAACACAUGCAAGUCGAACGGAAAGGCCCUGCUUUUGUGGGGUGCUCGAGUGGCGAACGGGUGAGUAACACGUGAGUAACCUGCCCUUGACUUUGGGAUAACUUCAGGAAACUGGGGCUAAUACCGGAUAGGAGCUCCUGCUGCAUGGUGGGGGUUGGAAAGUUUCGGCGGUUGGGGAUGGACUCGCGGCUUAUCAGCUUGUUGGUGGGGUAGUGGCUUACCAAGGCUUUGACGGGUAGCCGGCCUGAGAGGGUGACCGGACACAUUGGGACAGGAAUGCAGCCCAGACUCCUACGGGAGGCAGCAGUGGGGAAUAUUGCACGAUGGGCGGAAGCCUGAUGCAGCAACGCCGCGUGCAGGAUGACGGCCUUCGGGUUGUGAACCACUUUCGCCUGUAACAAAGCGUGAGUGAAGGUAAUGUGUAAAGAAGCACCGGCUAACUACAUG